rnacentral:rRNA from 1 species
AGCGUACACGGUGGAUGCCCUGGCAGUCAGAGGCGAUGAAGGACGUGCUAAUCUGCGAUAAGCGUCGGUAAGGUGAUAUGAACCGUUAUAACCGGCGAUUUCCGAAUGGGGAAACCCAGUGUGUUUCGACACACUAUCAUUAACUGAAUCCAUAGGUUAAUGAGGCGAACCGGGGGAACUGAAACAUCUAAGUACCCCGAGGAAAAGAAAUCAACCGAGAUUCCCCCAGUAGCGGCGAGCGAACGGGGAGCAGCCCAGAGCCUGAAUCAGUGUGUGUGUUAGUGGAAGCGUCUGGAAAGGCGCGCGAUACAGGGUGACAGCCCCGUACACAAAAAUGCACAUACUGUGAGCUCGAUGAGUAGGGCGGGACACGUGGUAUCCUGUCUGAAUAUGGGGGGACCAUCCUCCAAGGCUAAAUACUCCUGACUGACCGAUAGUGAACCAGUACCGUGAGGGAAAGGCGAAAAGAACCCCGGCGAGGGGAGUGAAAAAGAACCUGAAACCGUGUACGUACAAGCAGUGGGAGCCUCUUUAUGGGGUGACUGCGUACCUUUUGUAUAAUGGGUCAGCGACUUAUAUUCUGUAGCAAGGUUAACCGAAUAGGGGAGCCGAAGGGAAACCGAGUCUUAACUGGGCGUUAAGUUGCAGGGUAUAGACCCGAAACCCGGUGAUCUAGCCAUGGGCAGGUUGAAGGUUGGGUAACACUAACUGGAGGACCGAACCGACUAAUGUUGAAAAAUUAGCGGAUGACUUGUGGCUGGGGGUGAAAGGCCAAUCAAACCGGGAGAUAGCUGGUUCUCCCCGAAAGCUAUUUAGGUAGCGCCUCGUGAAUUCAUCUCCGGGGGUAGAGCACUGUUUCGGCAAGGGGGUCAUCCCGACUUACCAACCCGAUGCAAACUGCGAAUACCGGAGAAUGUUAUCACGGGAGACACACGGCGGGUGCUAACGUCCGUCGUGAAGAGGGAAACAACCCAGACCGCCAGCUAAGGUCCCAAAGUCAUGGUUAAGUGGGAAACGAUGUGGGAAGGCCCAGACAGCCAGGAUGUUGGCUUAGAAGCAGCCAUCAUUUAAAGAAAGCGUAAUAGCUCACUGGUCGAGUCGGCCUGCGCGGAAGAUGUAACGGGGCUAAACCAUGCACCGAAGCUGCGGCAGCGACACUAUGUGUUGUUGGGUAGGGGAGCGUUCUGUAAGCCUGUGAAGGUGUGCUGUGAGGUAUGCUGGAGGUAUCAGAAGUGCGAAUGCUGACAUAAGUAACGAUAAAGCGGGUGAAAAGCCCGCUCGCCGGAAGACCAAGGGUUCCUGUCCAACGUUAAUCGGGGCAGGGUGAGUCGACCCCUAAGGCGAGGCCGAAAGGCGUAGUCGAUGGGAAACAGGUUAAUAUUCCUGUACUUGGUGUUACUGCGAAGGGGGGACGGAGAAGGCUAUGUUGGCCGGGCGACGGUUGUCCCGGUUUAAGCGUGUAGGCUGGUUUUCCAGGCAAAUCCGGAAAACCAAGGCUGAGGCGUGAUGACGAGGCACUACGGUGCUGAAGCGACAAAUGCCCUGCUUCCAGGAAAAGCCUCUAAGCAUCAGGUAACAUCAAAUCGUACCCCAAACCGACACAGGUGGUCAGGUAGAGAAUACCAAGGCGCUUGAGAGAACUCGGGUGAAGGAACUAGGCAAAAUGGUGCCGUAACUUCGGGAGAAGGCACGCUGAUAUGUAGGUGAAGUCCCUUGCGGAUGGAGCUGAAAUCAGUCGAAGAUACCAGCUGGCUGCAACUGUUUAUUAAAAACACAGCACUGUGCAAACACGAAAGUGGACGUAUACGGUGUGACGCCUGCCCGGUGCCGGAAGGUUAAUUGAUGGGGUUAGCGGUAACGCGAAGCUCUUGAUCGAAGCCCCGGUAAACGGCGGCCGUAACUAUAACGGUCCUAAGGUAGCGAAAUUCCUUGUCGGGUAAGUUCCGACCUGCACGAAUGGCGUAAUGAUGGCCAGGCUGUCUCCACCCGAGACUCAGUGAAAUUGAACUCGCUGUGAAGAUGCAGUGUACCCGCGGCAAGACGGAAAGACCCCGUGAACCUUUACUAUAGCUUGACACUGAACAUUGAGCCUUGAUGUGUAGGAUAGGUGGGAGGCUUUGAAGUGUGGACGCCAGUCUGCAUGGAGCCGACCUUGAAAUACCACCCUUUAAUGUUUGAUGUUCUAACGUUGGCCCCUGAUCGGGGUUGCGGACAGUGUCUGGUGGGUAGUUUGACUGGGGCGGUCUCCUCCUAAAGAGUAACGGAGGAGCACGAAGGUUGGCUAAUCCUGGUCGGACAUCAGGAGGUUAGUGCAAUGGCAUAAGCCAGCUUGACUGCGAGCGUGACGGCGCGAGCAGGUGCGAAAGCAGGUCAUAGUGAUCCGGUGGUUCUGAAUGGAAGGGCCAUCGCUCAACGGAUAAAAGGUACUCCGGGGAUAACAGGCUGAUACCGCCCAAGAGUUCAUAUCGACGGCGGUGUUUGGCACCUCGAUGUCGGCUCAUCACAUCCUGGGGCUGAAGUAGGUCCCAAGGGUAUGGCUGUUCGCCAUUUAAAGUGGUACGCGAGCUGGGUUUAGAACGUCGUGAGACAGUUCGGUCCCUAUCUGCCGUGGGCGCUGGAGAACUGAGGGGGGCUGCUCCUAGUACGAGAGGACCGGAGUGGACGCAUCACUGGUGUUCGGGUUGUCAUGCCAAUGGCACUGCCCGGUAGCUAAAUGCGGAAGAGAUAAGUGCUGAAAGCAUCUAAGCACGAAACUUGCCCCGAGAUGAGUUCUCCCUGACUCCUUGA